UACAGAGGAGGCAAGCGUUGUUCGGAAUCACUGGGCUUAAAGCGCGUGUAGGCGGCGCGAUAAGUGUUCUGUGAAAUCCCACGGCUCACCCGUGGAACUGCAGGGCAUACUGUCGUGCUUGAGGCAGGUAGGGGCCACUGGAACUCUCGGUGGAACGGUGAAAUGUGUAGAUAUCGAGAGGAACGCCCGAGGCGAAAGCGGGUGGCUGGGCCUGUCCUGACGCUGAGACGCGAAAGCGUGGGGAGCGAUCCGG
rnacentral:rRNA from 1 species